AGCGAACGCUGGCGGCAGGCCUAACACAUGCAAGUCGAACGAACUCUUCGGAGUUAGUGGCGGACGGGUGAGUAACACGUGGGAACGUGCCUUUUGGUUCGGAAUAACUCAGGGAAACUUGUGCUAAUACCGAAUGUGCCCUUCGGGGGAAAGAUUUAUCGCCAUUAGAGCGGCCCGCGUCUGAUUAGCUAGUUGGUGAGGUAACGGCUCACCAAGGCGACGAUCAGUAGCUGGUUUGAGAGGAUGACCAGCCACACUGGGACUGAGACACGGCCCAGACUCCUACGGGAGGCAGCAGUGGGGAAUCUUGCGCAAUGGGCGAAAGCCUGACGCAGCCAUGCCGCGUGAAUGAUGAAGGUCUUAGGAUUGUAAAAUUCUUUCACCGGGGACGAUAAUGACGGUACCCGGAGAAGAAGCCCCGGCUAACUUCGUG
rnacentral:rRNA from 1 species